GUGAAUUCUGGGGAGGCGGCGUAGGGAAGACGGGGGGGGCCGGCGGUAGUCGGGAUUACUGAGCGGAAAGAGGUCGCAGGCGGGUUGUUAAGCGAGAUGGGAAAGCCCUGGGCGCAACCUAGGAAUAGCAUGUCGAACUGGCGAACUAGAGUCGUGGAGAGGGGGGUAGAAUUCCAGGUGUAGCGGUGAAAUGCGUAGAGAUCUGGAGGAAUACCGGUGGCGAAGGCGGCCCCCUGGACAAAGACUGACGCUCAUGCACGAAAGCGUGGGGAGCAAACAGGAUUAGAUACCCGAGUAGUC
rnacentral:rRNA from 1 species